AAGUUCUAUAGACACA
rnacentral:tRNA from 1 species